CUAAAACACAGAAUACCAAUGACUCUUAGACUCAUUCCCGGGCCUCCGGCUGACCACGGGAAAGGGGAUCUUCAGGAGCGGGUGUCUCAUGGCUGGGAAGAGGACGGCACAGGAGGGCUGGGGAACCCGAAUUGCAGCCUGAAUGGCCAGUGUCCUUUCUCCAGAAUGCAGUUCUCCCUUGCUCAGAAGAAAUGAGUCUGCCAGUGGGUACAACAUGAGAUGAUACUUCCACCCCCAUUGGUGACAGCCCUCACCUAGCUAUCAAGACAGUGUUCGACUUCCUUCACUCCUUCCAGGGGCCAGCAUGUGGCUGGCCACUGUCCACCCUCAGGGGUUGUGAACUGAAUUAAAGGGUUGCGUCCUUCAUCCAUUUUCUUUGCUGAACUGUCUUGAAUUUUACCCUAAGUUCAAAAUGAAGCAGACCAUAGCUGAGUUUAAAGGAGAUCCGAUUGACAUUGGGAAGUGGCACCCAAUAAGAUGGCUGUUUCUUCCGCCUGCUCCAGGGCUCGCCAACAGGAGAACUGAAAGCUGAAGCAUCUCAACCUGCAGAUACAUCUCAAAGGCCCCUUCAGCCGAUGUCCUCAGUGCCCUUGACACAGCCCCUUGGCACUUGCCUUCCACACACAUGCUGCUGCACCAGUUUCCUCCUGGUAGCAUCUUCCUUUCCGCCUGAGGAUUUCCCAGGCAUCCUGCCUCCAAGAAAGUCAGAAGUCAGUGCCUUCCUGAGAGCCGGUGAGAGCUCCGUCUCCCUUGGGCAAGUGGUGCUGAUGCCUGUUCCCUGCAUCCAUCUCUCAGAAGCCACAGCAGAACUGAGCUCCAGGGGCCACUGCGAUACACCUUCGCAAUGGUGACCACAAGAAUCCACUCAGCCUUGGAAGCUGUCCUUGAAACUCACCCUGAAAUCCCUGCCUAGCAGACAGGAGACCUCAGGCUGGACUCCACUCACUAUGUUAUCUCGGCCUCCCCGGGACUCUUAGGACACGACUUUCUUAAUCUUUCCAAGGGGCUAAGCUUAACCAAAAGGAAAUACUGCAUAAGAUGUGUGAAUACUUCAAGAUCUGUGGAAUAUGAAGCUGAAAACAGCUCUGUGUUUAGAAAUGGUUACCGUGCAUGUGUCUGUUUCCCCGAACUAGCACCAGAGCCUCGGUUUGAGGGUCUGUAUUUGAUCCUUUUCUCCUUAGAAAAGAGAGACCUUGUUGAAGGAAUGUUCUUUUUCCAGAGGAAAUUUGGGAAACAAAACGGUCACCUUAAAAACAGCAGCACAAGAAAGUUUGUCCUUAAAUUUAAAUUUUCUUUCAAGCCAGGAAUUAAAGCAAAGGUGGGAGUGGAAGAAUCUCUUCAGAUUGUAACUCUUGAAAUUUCCAGGCUAAGGGAAGUCACUGUGGGAGCAUUCGAGCAGAUUGGUGGUCACCACUGGGGAUUCUAGGAAAGACACGUUUCUUCAUGUUUUUAAUCUCAUCCUUUAAUUCCAAUUUCGGUGUAUGUUAUAUGUUUUGUAAGGUAUUCUAACAUUAAA
rnacentral:lncRNA from 1 species